rnacentral:lncRNA from 1 species
UUUUUUUUUUUUUUUUUUGUGGGGGAGACUCAAGCUAGACGGAUGUGGACCCAAGAAAACUUUUCAUUAAGAGUCAAACUAUUAAAAUAAUCUAAUUUUAUUUCUCUACUAAAUUAUUAAUUUUAUAUGACAUGGCGGCUUUUCAUUGGCUAUUACGCAACAUACCUUUUUGCACUUACAACCGUCGCUUCGUCGUAACAUCUUACGCGCCACCGUCUUCCGCCGCGCGUGCGAGGUUCUUUUCUUUGCCGGCGCGCUCGGCUCGAGUCUUUAGCCACUCUAUCAUCUCCCCGAAAAUGAGGUCCACGUUCUCCUCCGGCUCUCCGACCAACUGGUGCCACAUCCCUGGAUAAAUCCUGAUCGUCUUGUCCUUGCUCGUGGCUCGUUGAUGGAGCUCCUCAACGCAGGUGGGGUCGCAAACGACGUCGUCUCCACCGUGCACGAUCAGCAGGGGGACCUCCACUUCCUCGAAUUUCUCCUGCAGCUCCCGGCAAAUUCGCAUCAGCUCCUGAGCAGUAGCGGCCCGUGGUCUCCCUAUGCGCCGCCUCGGGCUCGCUAUCGCCAGUUUCCUCUUCCACGGCUCUUUGAAGGAAACAUCCGGGAUGGAGCCGCGUGUGGGAAUCACGCGCCACGUUGGAAGAAGAGCAGCGACCGCGGAGAGGAGGUACUCCAGCGGCCACGGCGGCUUGAAUUUGGCGCUGAUCCCGCACAUGGCGCCGUUGAGGACGAGCCCGUCCCACGCGCCUGGCUGACGGAGCGUUAUGUAUAGGGAAAUGGCUCCGCCAAGGGACUCGGCGUAGAGGAAGGCCGGCAGGCCAGGCGCGUGGCGCGAACGGAAUGAGUCGAAGAAGGAGAUGCAGUCGUCGACAACAGGGUUGAUGUCCGGUAUGUGUGCGUAGAGACCGUCUGAGAAGCCGUGGCCCUGGUGGUCGAUGGCGCAGACAGCGAACCCCGACUUCGCGAAGAGGAUGGCAGUGAGCUGGACCAUCCAGCUGGACUCUCCUGUGAAACCGUGAACGACGGCGACCACGCCGAUCGGCUUGGCCGGGGGCAGCGGGGUCCACCACUGAGUGAAAAGCCUGAGACCGCGGGGGUUAGUGAUGAACUCGGAAGAGUGACUCACCGAGUGACGGGCGUAGAACUCAUCUGCCGUAAGCGAGCCAAAGGGGCUCUUGUCGUCGGCCUCCGCCACUGGAUGCAGCGGCAUUGUCUCGCCCUAAAGUGCGGCAGGCCGGUGGAGGAUGCAACUCCCAACAACCAAACUCACGAGAAAAGGAAGAGAGAGUGUGUGCGUAUGAGUUUCUGUUUGUCAGCACAAGAUGGAGGGGAGGUAUUAAUGGUUGUUGUGUUGUGAGGAAAUUAAUCCUCUGGUACUGAAUUUCAUAGGUAGGCCUCCAUAAAUAGUUCAAUUAGUUGAGAGGGGAGUUGGGGUUAUUUAAUGAUAUAUUUAUUGAAUUGGGUGAAGUAGAAAUAUGUUAAAUAGGCCAAGUUAAGACAGUCAGCCCAAAAAACUUCAAGGACCUCUAAAAAAGGCCCAACACCCUUUUAGAAAGCCUUACAAAUCUAAGGAGAAAGCUCGAAGUCUAUUUUACUCGGUUCAUUGUCAUUCGAUUAUAUCAAAUUCAUAGAUUUGCGACUUGGCAAACAUAACUACGAGUACCCGAAACUGUACAAGAAUAUAGUUAAUUACUACCAAUGCCUACGAUCUUGUCAUAGCCAGGAUCAAUUAAAUGAUCAAGUGCCUGCCGAAUUACUGAGUCAGUUGUCUUCUUCACCAACGCAAGCUGAAAGAUAGAAAUUUUGUAUCAGAUGGUAAGAAGCUUAAUAUAUACGACUAUUAGACAUAUUGAAGAAUCUGAUAAACGCAAAGGAUGGACGCACAGGAGAGUGAAUAUUUAUAGGAGAAGUUGGAAAGACACCACUAAUUAUAGAGAUGCUUGUCAAUAAAUUCAAGUGACGAAAACAAAAAGAGCACGAAAAAUCUUGAAGGUGAACAACAGAAUUGUCAAUCAAUUGAAUAGAUAACUUAAAGAUCAACAAAAUAACUCCACAGAUGACAUCCAUGUUCAAUUAUCUUUCCUCAAAAUCAUGCUCAUUUCUGUAUGGGCUAAUCACAAGCAACUCCCAUCUCCCAAAGCAAAUGGAAAGAGUUUCUGAGGGGCAAAACAAGGCAGGUGUAUUGAUCCCAUUUCUAACACAACCUUUUCCAAACUCUUUACCUUGAUCCUGCCUGCCCGUUUCUGCAAAUAAAUAGACUGAUCAUUAUGAUCAGCUGAAGAUCUCAGCCGGUACAGGUCAGCAAGGAAAAUAAACCAAGAAAGGUAUUACACAAGGCUGGAUGAAGAGAAAAGUUAAGGCAAUCUGAUUAGUUUAUUUUCUGUUUUCCUGUCAGUUUAUUUCAAGUUCUUUAGAGUAUUCUGAUCUUGGUUCCUGUCACAAUUAGUCUUGCACUAAUUCAGACGUCCUUAACUGGCUAUUUUGGGAAUGAAAAGCUCAUGUGUCUCCCAUCCAAAAAGAAAAAUUAGUAAAUUUUCUCUCUUCUAAACUUGAGACCGGUAGGUUCUUCCUAGCGAGCUCUUACUAAUCUUCAAAGGUAAUAUAUUCCCCAUGAGUGCUAAAAAAAAUCUUUCAAGUGCUUGCAGUCCACUAAUCUUUACAACUGUUCACCACCACCCUUUUAACUAUAGUUGAUCCAUUCCAUCAAUACAACCACUCAAUGUCUACUCAAGUUUUCUCAAUUGGCUUUCAGGCAAUAACAGGGUAUGAUGUUAGGUUUUAUUAUUUUCUAUACUAAUUCAACACAGUAGUGAUUCUCAGCUUACUAAUAAGCAAGUGUCAAAUUGUAGGACAAAUUUAGAAGUUAAUCUCUUUGAGGCAAGGAUACAAGGGAUCUCUUCAUAACUCCUACUCCUGGCAUAAACCGCUUGUUUUUAACCAGAUAAAAAAGAAUUAAGUCUCUUAUGCAAAAGUUGACAUGAAGAUAUUCUAACCCCUAAAAGAACAGUCUAGUGAUAAAUCUGAGAAACUCAGACUCGGGUGCAAGUGUCCAAUUGAGUACAGAUCUAAAUUGUCUAACUUGACAAUUUUAUAGUCAAAGAUAUAGGCCCUCGAUUAAUAAGAGUAAAAAAAUUAGAUAUCAUACUUUAGCCUGUUUGAUAUUAAUAAUAAUAAUAAAAUAUAAGCCUAUAUAAGAUAGAAAGUUAAGACAAUUUCAGACGUAUAACAGAAUUCAACUUUUAUCUGGAAAAACAGCAAUUUCAUAUUUUUAGUGACUGGAGAAAAAUUACAAUUAUUAGAAAUAAAUAACUGAUUGGGUAUUAUUUCAAAAAAAGUUUUCCAAAUUUCGACAUUCAACACAAGUAGUUUCAUUUCUAUUUUCAGAUUCAGCUUCUGCCAAAGGGUUUUCACCAUCUUAAUGGUUCUAGAUCAUGAUCUGUUUGUACAUCAAGUGUCGGCCACAUCCACACCCACACCACUAUCAUGUCUUCUCUGACAUGGAUGUAACACUAACAUUGAAUAGUCCGAGCAUCGUAGGAUAAAAUAAAUAAAAGCAUAGAAACCUACAACCAUAAGAGAAAAAAGACAAAAAGUAAGCUUAAAUAUCUAUGGAAAGAAUAGUUAAAAAGGUUUGGCCAACCCUGUGACAACUCCUUUAAGUGCAAGGAUCAGAAUUAUAUGUGCCCUUGGCUUAAGAUAUUCUCAUGUCAAAUGUCGUAAGAAACAAAAUGAUAGUGCUCAACUAAAUCUUCAGAAAAAUGCAGUAUUGAUGUUUUGAAAGUUUGUUCAAAAAAACCUUCUCUCAAAUUCAUCCCAUAAAAACAAGAGUUAGAUAAAAUUUUCAUUUCAUUUUCUUUUCUCCUUUAGAGCCUUAUCCUAAACUUUGGAGAAGAAAGAAUUACUAACAAGGAAGAAAAGGAAUCCAAUCGCAGCAUCCUCAGAAAUGAGAAGAUAUGUAAAUCAACAUGAUAUAGCUGCUCAUCAAUCCUAGCUAAAGUGAACACCCCCACCCCUGCCGUCCCCAUAAACAAGAAAAAGAAAAAAAAAAAGUUCUGCCGAAAUUGAAAUCUGUAGACUCAUCAUAUAAGAUAGAAAUCAAAACCAGUAUCACAGCUGUAGGAAUCUAAGGCCAUUAUCUAAGUAAACAGGUAUUCACUAACUAAAUAAACAUUCAACCUUAUUCCUUUCUCUUUUACUCUAGCUAAACUCUCCCUACAAUUCUUAAAGCUGGCAAGUAAUCUUCCAUGCACGACUUGCUUCUCACUCACCCUUCUACUUGAUAACGUAGUCUUGUACUGUCAAAACAAAUUACUCCCAUUGCAAGAAGGGUCCUAGCCUCUAUCCCGUGCUUUCUCUAUAUAGAAAACCAAAUGCAAUCACUUCUCCGAAAAAAAACAGCAGCUAAAUCCUUUAGCAUUUUAAAUCUCAUCAGUAAGACCUCCAUAUUCGACCAAUCCAAUUUUCUUCAUUUCUCAGUCCCAGAAGGCACACCAUCAAAAUUCCAGUGACUUUUCCCAAACUCAACCCGUAGCCAUCUCAUUGAUCAAGAACGAAGCGAGUACUUAAACCAAUUUUCCCCGAAAAAGAAAACGCCAAAGCUAAAAUCCAUUUUAAAAAGAUACCUACAGCAAAAAAUUAAAAUCAAAUGUAACAUAUAUAGACUAUAAGAAAACUUCUAUUUCAUUUCCAUCGCAAACGAAAGAGAGGACCGCGAACCCAAUGAAUCCAUGUUUAAAAAGAAAAUUAAAUCGAAAAUUAAAGUCACGGAAACCCGAGAAACGCGUACAGAAAGCUUCAAUUCCAACAAAGAAGCACAUAAAACCGGCGAAUAGACAGAAGUACCUCCACAGCAGAAACAACAGUAGCAGCAAGAGAGAACGAGUAGAAUCUCCCUGCAAAUAGCAAGAGGAACGCAAUGAUUCUUCGAAGUGGAUGCUUCUUUCUCCAAGAGUAGUUUCUCCUCACUGCUCCGCGUUUCCUUCUCGAUCUUCAUCCGAUGAAGAUUCCAUUCAAGUUUUUUUAAGUAAGCAAUCUUGAACGAGUCUCUAAUCCUCUCUGAUGGCCAUAGAUGCAUCUCUCUCCUCUUCCUCCUCCCUUCUCUGAUCUCUAGUUAUCCGGUGUUCGACGUUCAAUUCUGAACCCAGAGGACGUAAGUUUUCGUUUAUGGAAAAGCGUACGAGGUUGGGAAACGGAGGCGGAAAGUCAAAAGUAGGAAGAGCCAGCUAAGACGACGUCGUUUCAGUGCAGUUUCCUAAAAUAUAAAAUUUUGAUUAGGUAGGCGUGAAAACGAAAUUAACAGUUAAUUUUGGAUUUAAAUAGGAAAAUAGUUGAUUAGGAAUUAGGAAACUAAGAAUUGGCGGUUAGGAUUAAUAGGCCAGGGGCCAUGCCCGAUUGAAUGUUUGGUUGCCCUUCUUUAAUCUUAUCGUUUCCAUUCUCCAACUAAUUCAUAUUCAGGUUAAUGAUAAAGCAAAACCCAGAUCCAAACAAGCCCUUAACGGGCCCACAAGCCCAACAACCGGCCCAUUUUAUCACUAACCCUUUUUACAUCAUGAUUCUCAUUUCUCUCAUCAUAAUAUUUUUGGUUAAAAUUAUUAAAUUAAUUUUUAAAAUUUAACAUUUAUUAUAAUUUAAUUCUUAAUAUUUUUUAUUAUAUUUUAAUUUUUAAUUUAUUUAUUUUAAACACUUAAUUCUAUUCAUUUUCUAACACAAACAAAAUUUAAUAAUUAAAUCAUUAAAAAAAUAAUUUUAACUAAUUAAUUAAAUUAAUAAAUCAAUAAUAAUAAAAAUAUCUUACAUUAUUAUUAACUUAUAAUCUAUCAAAUUAAUUAAUUAAUUAAUUAAAAUUAUUAUCUUGAAUUACUUUUAAAUUAUUCAAACAUAAUCAGAUUAUUAUAUCUUUUUUAUUAGUAAAUAGUAAAAAAAAAAAAAACUUGAGGAAUUAAAUUGUAAGGAAAUAAAUAUUUUUACAAGUACUAAACAUGGAGAGUUAAUUUAAUAAUUUCACUUUUUUUUUUUGUUAUGACAAAAGAACUUAUAAGUAGAAAAGACAAAAAAAAAAAAAAACUACAGUGACAGUAACAGUAACUUUUUAUUCACUGACAGUAACAGUAACUUUUUAUUCAGUGACAGUAACUUUUACUCCAAUGUACCAAUUCACUGCAUCUACAAGGUAAUUCACCAUUUAGCGGCAUGUGAAUGGUGAAAAUGGGAAGUUACAGAAGCAUGGAGAAAUCAGGCAUGAGAAAACCAAAGGCCAUGUGAGAAGAAACCAGAGGACUAUCAGAGCUCAAACUGUGAAAGAACAGUGGUGGUGUCUGAGGUGUUAAAAGAAGGUAAAAGGAGGAGAAGAUGAAGAAGAAGAUGGUGGUGAUGGGUGCCAUUUCUUUCUACUCUCUCUUCUUCUCCUUUACAUUUUCUAAUCUGGGUCUUCCUCUAUAUAUACACAAUCACACACACACACACACACAUGUAUAUACACACACACACACACACACAUAAGUAUAUGUAUGUAUGUAUAUGGGUAUGGAGGGGGAGGGGGAGGGGCUGGUUGCUUAAACUUCAAUUUUCUGUUAAACAAAAAAUGAUUUUGAAAAAGACAGAGGUGAAAGGGUGUACACUUUUAAUUGCUUAUAUAAAUGGCAAAGAAAGAUAAUGACUAUAAAUUAGUUGCUUAUAAGUGAAGUGGAUCUUAGUGAUAAUUUGUUUUUAUAUGAUGUUUGUAAUAUAUUUUUAAAUAAAUUUAUAUAUUCAUUAAUUCUAUUAUAUAUAUAUAUAUAU